rnacentral:snRNA from 1 species
AUACUUAGCUGACAAGGGAGAUACCAUGAACAUGAAGGGGUUUUUUUCCCCCUCCAGUUGAGACUCAUUCAUUACAAUGUGGGUGUGCUGCCCCAUGUAAUUUCCCCAAAUGUGGAAAAACUUGACUACAUAAUUUAUAAUGGAGGACUGUGUUCAUGCCUACUCCUG